AGGACGAACGCUGGCGGCGUGCCUAACACAUGCAAGUCGAACGGAGCACUUCGGUGCUUAGUGGCGAACGGGUGAGUAACGCGUGAGAAACCUGCCUUUCAGUGGGGGACAACAGUUGGAAACGACUGCUAAUACCGCAUAACACUUUAGUACCGCAUGGUACAGAAGUCAAAGCUUAAUGUGCUGAAAGAUGGUCUCGCGUCUGAUUAGCUAGAUGGCGGGGUAACGGCCCACCAUGGCGACGAUCAGUAGCCGGUCUGAGAGGAUGAACGGCCACAUUGGGACUGAGAUACGGCCCAGACUCCUACGGGAGGCAGCAGUGGGGAAUAUUGGGCAAUGGGGGAAACCCUGACCCAGCAACGCCGCGUGAAGGAAGACGGUUUUCGGAUUGUAAACUUCUUUUAAGAGGGACGAUAAUGACGGUACCUCUUGAAUAAGCCACGGCUAACUACGUG
rnacentral:rRNA from 1 species